GCGAGGGCCGCGGGGCCGGGUCCGCGCGGCGCGGCGAUGAUGAACAGGUUCCGAAAGUGGCUGUACAAACCCAAGAGGUCGGACCCGCAGCUGCUCGCCCAGUUCUACUAUGCGGACGAGGAGCUGAACCAGGUGGCCGCUGAGCUGGACAGUCUGGACGGGCGGAAGGACCCCCAGCGGUGCACACUGCUUGUCAGCCAGUUCCGCUCUUGCCAGGACAACGUAUUAAACAUCAUUAACCAGAUCAUGGACGUGUGCAUUCCCCAGGACCGGGCCCCGCGGGAUUUCUGCGUCAAGUUCCCUGAGGAAAUCCGACACGACAACCUGGCAGGCCAGCUGUGGUUCGGUGCUGAGUGCCUGGCCGCUGGCUCCAUCAUCAUGAACCGUGAGCUGGAGAGCAUGGCCAUGCGCCCGCUGGCCAAGGAGCUGACCCGCAGCCUGGAGGACGUGCGGGGCGCCCUCCGAGACCAGGCGCUGCGCGACCUCCACACCUACACAGAGAAGAUGCGGGAGGCUCUGAGACACUUCGAUGUCCUGUUUGCUGAGUUCGAGCUGAGCUACGUCUCAGCCAUGGUGCCUGUGAAGUCCCCCAGGGAGUACUACGUGCAGCAGGAGGUCAUCGUGCUGUUCUGUGAGACCGUGGAGAGGGCCCUGGACUUCGGGUACCUGACCCAAGACAUGAUUGACGACUACGAACCGGCCCUCAUGUUCACCAUCCCCAGGUUGGCCAUCGUGUGUGGCCUCGUGGUCUAUGCAGAUGGACCUCUGAACUUGGACCGCAAGGCAGAAGACAUGUCUGAGCUAUUCCGGCCCUUCCACACGCUGCUGCGAAAAAUAAGGGACUUGCUGCAGACCCUGACAGAGGACGAGCUUCACACGCUGGAAAGGAACCUCUGCAUUUCCCAGGACGUGGAGUUCCCCAUCCGGGCAGACACCCCGGUGCCCCCCUCCCUGACACCCGCCUUUCCCUCACCCCUCCCCACCGAGGAGCUGCUCUCAGCCAAGGCCAAGACCCCGGAGGCAGAGCUGGCCUGUUCCAUGCAGUAUGACAGCCAGGAGCUAGAGCAGCUCGACCGCAUGGUCCACAGGGCAGGGGAUGAGAUGUCAUCCCUCCUCUCCCCACCCAGUGCCUGCCAGUCCCCCGCACACCGGCCAGGGGUGGAGGGUAGCCCCCGUGGGGAGGCAUCCCCAGGCAGUGCUCGGCUGCGGCAGGGCAGCGACGAGGAAGAAGGAAGGGUAUUUUUCAUGGAUGACGUGGAGGGGGCUGCUGAAGCCCCAAGAGGCCCAUCUGGGUGGGCAGGCAGUGCCCGCGCUGACCCCCAGGAGAGAGGGCCAGGCGGAGGGCACGGAGAGGCCAAGGGUAGCGGUUCCUCUGAGGCAGAGGAGGGGGACAUGAGCAAUAACAACGACGUCCCUCAUGACAAGAUGUGGGCGCUGGGUCCCAACUCUUGCAGCUGCCUGGAUGCGCAGCCGCACCUGGAUGGCUGGGAGGGGGGUGGGGACGCUGCGCAGACGGCCGAGAUGAUCGCCCACCGGACCGGGGGCAUGAAGCUCUCAGCUACUGUCAUCUUCAAUCCCAAGUCAACCCCUGCAGGGGGCUCUGCCGUCACCACCCCGGAAGCCUCUGAAGACGGCAUCUCCCUGCCGGGGCCUGUGGCCCAGGGGACACACAGUGGCUCCCACAAACUCAGUACUGCGGCCACCAGCUGCCUCCUUAACUCCUGCGUGUGCUGCGGGGCCUGCGGCGGCAGCAGGGAGGACAGCGCCGCCCAGAGUCUACAUGACAAGUGUGGCCCCAGAAGCGUCAUUAGCGCCUCUUACGUGGGCUCUGCCAAGGCCAGCGCCAAGGGCUCUGCUGAGAGAUGGGAGGAGGCCCGGCCUGUGCCGGAGGCAUUGCCCUCAGAGGAUGCCUCUACUUCCAAGUGCCUGACACACACCUCGGGGCCUCAGCUGGACACAGUGGACAGGUCACCUGGAGCGGCCAAUGGUGCAAGUCCAAAAAGGGAGCCUCAGGCUGGACCGCCAGACUCAGGGCAGCCGUCGAAGGCCAGGGUGGAAAGUCAGCAGGGAGAGGUGGCCGAGGAGGAGCCUCAGCGCCUGUCAGACUCCAGGCAGGUCUUGCUGCUGGCUGUGGGGUUGUGCCAGACUCUGCUGCUCCGGACGGUGCAAACAUCUUCUAUUUCUGAUAAAGCUGUUUUUGAGAUGCAAGCCCAGCUUCCUCGGCCAUGUCCAGAGGAAUGAACUAUUGUCACAAGCUGCUGGAUGGCUUUCUUCCUUGGGAUCCCCUGCAGAGUUGAUUAUUGCUGGUGGACACCUACUCUGUCUCCUGCUCUCCCAGCAUUUCCCACGGUGGACACUGCUCGUUCGUCACAUCACGAAGAUGACUUCCCGGGCCCUAUCCAGCUUUGCUCAAACAUUGCAGCUGAGCUGAGGAAAGGAAAGGGAAGACCCACUGUGGCCUUGAGACAGCCCCACCUUCCUGGGGAGCUUCCAGAAGGUGCAGAGGGCCUGAGGAGGGAGGAACGUGGCAGGUGGCUGGUUGUCAGGACAGUCAUGCGUCUGGGCCAAGACUUCGGACAGCGGUGGCCCCCCAUCCCACGCCAAGGGCAGCGAGAACUGGGUCAGCCAGGUGUUAGCACGUGGUGCCCAUGGUCUGCCAGCUGCAAACACAUCAGGAUCAUCACUCCCUUGGGUCAGGGUUAGAUCCCUUGGAGUGUGAUCUAACGCUAGUGCAGGCGUGACAGAGCAGGGAGACCCUUAACAUGGACAGACACAAAAGACCAGUCUCCCACAGGCGGAAAGUUUGCCGAGAUUCCAGCAUGGAGAUUCCUGGAUGUCUGGGGUGCUGCUGCCCUCACUAUGUCUAGAGGCUUCACGAUGGAGACCACAGGGCUCAAGUGCAGGGACAGGGGCUCAUUCCUCCCAUUCUGCAGACAGGGAGGCCAGUGUCCUGGAGAGGCAGCUGGCCUGUAGCUCCCUGCCUGUCUGCUGGCCCGCAGGGGCUGCCGCAGCCUCAGGGGCUGGCAAGUGGCCAGAGGAGGGAGCACCAGGCAUGGUGCUAGGCUUGGGAGCUCCAAGCCCUGCGGUCUGGCCAGGAGGUCACUCAGGGGCAGCUUCACUCCUCUGCGAGCGACACAGAGCUGGCCCAGGCAGGAAGCACAUGGAGCUGCAUCUCCCUGAGGACACAGGGAGCGAAUACCAUGGUGAAGCAGAAGCCCGAUGGAAGGACGGGGCACUGGGGUCUGUGCCAGACUAGCCAGAGGGUCUGGGCCAGAGAAGCGCCUUCUGGGGUGUUCCCCCAGGCCCUACAACAUGGGCCAAUUCCAUCAGUGCCAUCAGUGCCAUUUCCAGGGUGCUGGGUCAUGGCCCCCAGCAGAGUCCUUGGCAGAAUGUUCUGGAACCAUGCAUCCCUCAGCUCUUUUAUUGGCUUCUCUCCUACCUUUUCAGGAAAACUUAAGAUCUUUUUAAAGGGAAAGUUAGCAUUUUUCAAGAGCUUGUUGUUCCCUGUCUAGAUUUAACUCACUGUUCCAGAAUCUUCCAUGCUCUUGAAGCCUGAAUAAGCCACUUGUCUACAGCAUGGAAGCUCAGCCUGCCUCAAAUCUGUUUUUGUUCUUUCCUAGGACAUUUGACUAGAGCGUCUCCAUCCUGUUGCUUCUUUAAAAAAUUCCACAGGCUCGCUUUUUUCUUAUAAUAAACAUGGCCCCGUUCAUUGUAGAGACUUUGAAAACAUAAGAAGAAAAACAAAAGGAAAUAAAAAUUACCCCGAAUCCUAUGAGCAGUUUUAGUUUUUUCACGACGUUAUGAUCAUUUCUCUGGAAAGUGCUUGAAAAACACUAUUUCCGUUGAAUUCUACUAUAUCCUAAGGACAUAAGGACAUACCUAGUUUAUUCUAUGUUUUCCCACGUCUGUGUGUCUUUCUGUGUUGAGCUGGCCCUAUGGCCCCUCUGCCUUAGGGAUCUGUGUUUGCCCCUGGGGUUAAGUCUUCAGAGUAGAUUCUUGGUAGGGUCACCACGCCAAAGGCGUAGAAAGUCUGUGGCGUCUUCCUGCCCCUUGCCGCCACAUACGGUCAGAUUGCUCUCCAACAUGUGCCAAUGAACCAAUUUGUCUCAGCGGGUGCCCCUCCCCCACCGUUGAGACUUGAGAGUGAAACACGAAUCCCUGGGUGUGGUAGUUGGCUUUCCUCUGACAGUUGGUA